rnacentral:rRNA from 1 species
CUACGGGUCGCUGCAGUGGGGAAUAUUGCACAAUGGGCGCAAGCCUGAUGCAGCCAUGUCGCGUGUAUGAAGAAGGCCUUCGGGUUGUAAAGUACUUUCAGCGGGGAGGAAGGGAGUAAAGUUAAUACCUUUGCUCAUUGACGUUACCCGCAGAAGAAGCACCGGCGUAACUCCGUGCCAGCAGCCGCGGUAAUACGGAGGGUGCAAGCGUUAAUCGGAAUUACUGGGCGUAAAGCGCACGCAGGCGGUUUGUUAAGUCAGAUGUGAAAUCCCCGGGCUCAACCUGGGGACUGCAUCUGAUACUGGCAAGCUUGAGUCUCGUAGAGGGGGGUAGAAUUCCAGGUGUAGCGGUGAAAUGCGUAGAGAUCUGGAGGAAUACCGGUGGCGAAGGCGGCCCCCUGGACGAAGACUGACGCUCAGGUGCGAAAGCGUGGGGAGCAAACAGGAUUAGAUACCCGAGUAGUC